rnacentral:rRNA from 1 species
GACGGAGGGUGCAAGCGUUGUUCGGAAUUACUGGGCGUAAAGGGCGCGUAGGCGGUCUGCUAAGUUCGGUGUGAAAUCCCCUGGCUCAACUGGGGAACUGCGCCGGAAACUGGCAGACUAGAGUACCGGAGAGGAGGGUGGAAUUCCUGGUGUAGCGGUGAAAUGCGUAGAUAUCAGGAGGAACACCGGUGGCGAAGGCGGCCCUCUGGACGGCAACUGACGCUGAGGCACGAAAGCGUGGGGAGCAAACAGG